GCUGCCACGUGAAUGCCACUUUCUCCUGCAGGUCCCUAUUUCCCAUGGGCGGUGGCUCUGGCCGUGAUUCUGUCCCUUGUCGUUCUCCUGGGCAGUUUCUGCCUCUGGCGGCAGCACCGUGUGACAGAGAGGCGCCGUGCAGACAAAGCAAAGUAUGAAGCAAUGAAAGGUAAGUGCCUUUUACUGCCCCCCUGACCCCCUGACUUCACUGGCAAAACCCUGGUACCCAG